UACGGGGGGGGCAGGCGUUGUUCGGAAUUACUGGGCGUAAAGGGUUCGUAGGUGGCCUGCUAAGUCAGACGUGAAAUCCCUCAGCUUAACUGGGGAACUGCGUCUGAGACUGGCGUGCUGGAGCACUGUAGAGGCAGGUGGAAUUCCGGGUGUAGCGGUGGAAUGCGUAGAGAUCCGGAAGAACACCGGUGGCGAAGGCGGCCUGCUGGGCGGUAGCUGACGCUGAUGCG
rnacentral:rRNA from 1 species